rnacentral:lncRNA from 1 species
AUAUGCCAACAAUCAUGCAGUGUUAACAUUUAGGAGUGUGAAAAACACUCAACAGUUUCCAAAGGGAUAUAUAUGUGAUAUGGUCUUCAUUUCAGAGAAGCAUAAGUGACUGAAUCCCUGUCUGCUCUUUAGUGUUUCACCUAACCAUUCCAUAGCCUCAUCAAAGCAAGUGCCUUUGAUUACUGAAGUUUUGAAUAUUUGCUAUUUUCAGUCCUUCAAGACAGGUGGCUCAAGUGAAUUUGCCAUCUCUGAGGGAGUCAUGUCCUGUUCCGUUGUCCUGCUUAUUUGUAAACCCCCUAAAAUGGCUCUUCUCAGCUCUUCUUCCUCCAACUUGGCAACUAACUCUGAUUUUGAAAUACCAAUUUGGUCUUGGUCACCACAAUCUACUACAUAGAUGACUGCAUGAGAGUUUGAAUAAUAACAUCAGUUGUCUGCCCUCCCAAAUCCCAGACUUGGAAUUUAAGGUUUUUGUAUGUUACCAUCUCAAUAUUAAAUCCAAUGGUAGGAAUAGUAGCAAUGACUUCUCCAGCCUGUAAUCAGUACAAAAUUGUGGUUUUUCCUGCUCCAUCUAAUCCCAAAAUUAAAAUUCUCAUUUCCUAGGUUCUAAACAAACUGGAAAAAAUGCUUGAGAAAAUGUUACCCAUGAUGAACCACCUAUCCACCCUCAUCAACCAAAGCCAGUUCAGCUCCCAGGCAGUUUUCUUGAAAACUUGCUUAGCCUGCAACUUCUGCAUUGGACUCCUGGCAGUGCUUGGAGCAAGGGGCAAUGGCGACUGCACACCAGGAAACUGGUUCUGCUACCUAAUUUGGUAAAUUUCUUUGGAAAUAAUUCCAUUACCCGUGGGUAUCAACUGGACUUAACAUAUCAACAGCUAAGGAUGCCUGAAACAAUUGCUAAGGAUGCCUCUACAGACCUUCAUUAUAGUCCAUGCAUCAGGUAAGUUUCUCUCUAUUAUAUCCCAUAGAAAUCAGAGUACUGUCUUAAAAUACCAGAAUCCUUUUAUAUUCAAAUUGCUCUCCAUGAAGGACAGC